CGGUCACAACGUUGAAAAACCGGUUCCCCUACGAUCAUCGAAGUUAAGCAACGUCGAGCCUGUUCAUUUCCUGAAUGGGCGACCGCUUGGGAAUACCAGAUGCUGUAUG